UGAAUUAAAAACGUUAAUAAAAACGGAUAAAAAAGUCAUAGGUUUGUAUGUUGUUCGAAAACGGAUUAAAAACGUCAUAGGUUUGUAUGCCGUUAUAUAUCGGCUAUGAAUCUGUAAAAAAGUCAUAGGUUUGUAUGCCGUUAUAUAUCGGCUAUGAAUCUGUAAAAAAGUCAUAGGUUUGUAUGCUGUUAUAAUACUGUAAAAACGUCAUAGGUUUGUAUGCCGUUAAAAUUCUGUAAAAAAGUCAUAGGUUUAUAUGUUGUUCGACAACGGAAUAAAAACAUCAUAGGUUUGUAUGUC